rnacentral:rRNA from 1 species
GACGUAGGGCGCGAGCGUUGUUCGGAAUUACUGGGCGUAAAGGGCUUGUAGGCGGCCAACUAAGUCAGACGUGAAAUCCCUCGGCUUAACCGGGGAACUGCGUCUGAUACUGGAUGGCUUGAGUUUGGGAGAGGGACGCGGAAUUCCAGGUGUAGCGGUGAAAUGCGUAGAUAUCUGGAGGAACACCGGUGGCGAAGGCGGCGUCCUGGACCAACACUGACACUGAGGAGCGAAAGCCAGGGGAGCAAACGGG